UACAGAGGUCUCAAGCGUUGUUCGGAUUUACUGGGCGUAAAGGGCGCGUAGGCGGCCUGUGCAAGUCAGUUGUGAAAUCUCCGAGCUUAACUCGGAAAGGUCAACUGAUACUGCUCGGCUAGAGUGCGGAAGGGGCAACUGGAAUUCUUGGUGUAGCGGUGAAAUGCGUAGAUAUCAAGAGGAACACCUGCGGCGAAGGCGGGUUGCUGGGCCGACACUGACGCUGAUGCGCGAAAGCUAGGGGAGCGAACGGG
rnacentral:rRNA from 1 species